rnacentral:siRNA from 1 species
GACGGCCACCAGGAAGACCACUGU